GGAUGUGAGGGCGAUCUAGCUGCAACAUCUGUCACCUAUUUGAUCUCCAGGGUUGAUUCGGCUGAUCUGGCUGGGUAGGCGGGUGUCCCCUUCCUCCCUCACUGCUCCAUGUGCAUCCCUGCUGAAGCUGCAUGCUCAGUCGAAAAGGACAGCCUUCCCCAAGUAGAGACCAACUGGUCUUCAGUCGAGGGUAUACGAGUAGCUGCGCUCCCCUGCUAGAACCUCCAAACAGGCUCUCAAGACUGACCUCCCUAGGCAGCUGAGGUCUGAUCACACUCCGUAGCAGACUGUGAUGGGAAACUGCAGUAAGUCUUCCUUUUCC
ensembl:misc_RNA 7SK 7SK RNA